rnacentral:misc_RNA from 1 species
ACAAACACUGUUGUUGCCAAAGUGAACGACGCUGCUUUGCUUUGGAAUGGUUUCUUCUACGAAAUGGUUGAAAAGAUCAAUGAUAAUCAUAGAUUCCAAUUCCCACAGUCUUCUUAUAAGCUCUCUGAGUGAUGCUGACACUACAGUACCAGUAGUAUGUAAAUUCCACUGCAAUGAAUCACAAGAAAAUGUCAGCUGCACGCAAUGCUCCAUUUGGAACUGAUGUUCAACCAACUUGUAAUGUGAAAAUCAUUGGAGGAAAAGCAGUAGAGAUUCCAAUAGAUUCACCACCAACAAGUGCAAAAAAUGGCAAGAAUUUACCACCUGUUGUCCACCAUAGUCCAUAUGGAACCUCUCCAAUGCAGACCCAGCCUAAUAUAACCUGUGAUGAGGGUACACAAGACAACCUUGCAAAACAACAGUAUGAACGGCUACGAGCGAUAGCUUCUAAAACCUCGCCACCAGACAACAGCAACUCGCAUAUCCAUGGUACGAGGACGAGGUCUAAUAGUCUCCCAUGUACUCACAGAGUCCUACCUCCUAUACCAAUGUCCAGUAGGUACCCAUCAAGUGAGAGCACGCCCCCAUUGAGUUCAGGGUUGGCGUCCCCUAAUGAGAGCCUGAGGCUUGAAAAGCCUAAAAUAUCAAUGACAAUGCAGCUUUGUGAUAUGCUUCGAAGCUAUGAUUCAUACUGCUUUAAAGAUAUGUACAGAAGCCUAACAGAGUUUGACCACAAGUUGACAGGCUACGUGAACCAAGCCCAGCUGAACAUGAUCGCGCUUAGGCAUGGCCUUCCCAUCCCUACUACAACGAUGAGGCUUCUUUUCACUAGCUUUGCAAAGGGCAGUAACCCUGAUGUGGUCAACUACGAGAAGUUACUACAGUAUCUAGCCAGGGCUCAGGUGGGCUCACCUAAGGCUGAGACCAUGCUGCAUGAGUCUGUUAAUAGAUUCAUUAAAGAAAUAAGAACACUGGAUAGUCCUGAUGAACAAGUUUCACUAGAUGAGAAGAUUGCAGAGUUUGAAGCAAAGCUCAUUAAAACUCAACAGAGAUCACAUGAUACUCACAAAGUCAAUCAACAGUCAAGUCCAAUGGCUGGCAAUACCAAUCAAAAGCCGAAUCCAGUGAAGGAGAGUUAUGGUAACCAUGGAGACAACCAACAGGUUCAAAGAAAGAAAAAAAGGCGCGAUUCUCAUGGAAAAUCUGAAAUACAACCACUGAAAACUAUCAAAAAACCACUGAAGGUAUUUUCCGAGCGUGAUGAUGCAAUGUUACUCAUGUUAAUUGAGCAACAAGUUAUUCAAGGAAAAGAGGAGAGCAUGAACAUGGAAGAGAUCAGGGAGAGUAUGUCAGACCUCGACAAAACCAGAGAUGGAACCAUUUCACAGAAACAGUUCCAGGAAGUUUGCCUCAAACAUCGUCUGCCAUUCCAAGGCUCACUGUUGGACAAGAUCAUAAUGAGAUGUGAUACAGGUGAAUCGAGGUUAAGUUGGGUAGCCUUCAUUGAAUUUCUAAGCAAGGUGCAGUCAUUAAACUCAUCUCAAGACCCUUCCGAGUCAGCGAUGAAGAGCAGCAAAGAAUCAGAUCGUCCGGGGACAUGGCCUACAUCUCCAAGGCAUAAGGAAACUUCAGAAGUAGCUGAACCAUCUCGACCACCUUGGGAAACCAGAAAGCCUCUUGGGCCAGUAAUGAGGAAAUGUUCCCCAACCAGUGUAGAGCGAGAUGUAACCAGGGACGACACCCCGUCACCUACUCAAAGUGAAGAGAUUGAGGAUGCGCAACAACGCAAACAAUUGAACACUCUUGCUAAGCAACAUGCGGCAAGAGCUCAGCGUAAGGAGAAGCUUGAUACCGGUGCAGAGGAUGAGGAGGUUGAGCCAUGGUUCUCAAGGUUCAUGCACUUGGCCCAGGGAUUGUAUAGCAGUGAUAGUACAAACACAGGUAAGACUAAAGAACACAUAAUGGUCCAGUGGCAGAUGCAGUAAUUUGAAAAAUAAGGGGCCCAGGGAGGGGCUUUAACAGGUAGUGAGUCUAUACCGCCUCAUCCCCACCAUGGUUGGGGCUGAGGUUACUUGCCGAGGGAAGAAAUGGUGCGAUUAGUGAAUAAUUACAACUUGAUUUACAACUUAAAGAUACCAGGGGAGAGGAUAACCAAGGUGAUAAGCAGCUGCAUGGGGGAUAGGGGAGAUGUCAUGAUAG